CCUACGGGAGGCAGCAGUGGGGAAUAUUGGGCAAUGGAGGCAACUCUGACCCAGCAACGCCGCGUGAAUGAUGAAGGUCCUCGGAGUGUAAAGUCCUUUUCUAAGGGAAGAAGAAAGUGACGGUACCAUAGGAAGAAGCGUCGGCUAACUACGCGCCAGCAGCCGCGGUAAUACGUAGGUGGGAAGCGUGAUGCGUAUGUAGUGGGUGUAAAGGGAGUGGAGGCGGGAAAGCACACCAGAUGUGAAAUCUCAGGGCUCAACGCUGGGCCUGCGUUUGAAACUGUUUUUCUUGAGUGCUGGAGAGGCAGUCGGAAUUCCGUGAGUAGCGGUGAAAUGCGUAGAUAUACGGAGGAACACCGGUGGCGAAGGCGGAUUGCUGGACAGUAACUGACGCUGAGGCCCGAAAGCGUGGGGAGCAAACAGGAUUAGAUACCCUGGUAGUC
rnacentral:rRNA from 1 species